rnacentral:rRNA from 1 species
UCGAUGCAACGCGAAGAACCUUACCUGGUCUUGACAUCCACGGAAGUUUUCAGAGAUGAGAAUGUGCCUUCGGGAACCGUGAGACAGGUGCUGCAUGGCUGUCGUCAGCUCGUGUUGUGAAAUGUUGGGUUAAGUCCCGCAACGAGCGCAACCCUUAUCCUUUGUUGCCAGCGGUCCGGCCGGGAACUCAAAGGAGACUGCCAGUGAUAAACUGGAGGAAGGUGGGGAUGACGUCAAGUCAUCAUGGCCCUUACGACCAGGGCUACACACGUGCUACAAUGGCGCAUACAAAGAGAAGCGACCUCGCGAGAGCAAGCGGACCUCAUAAAGUGCGUCGUAGUCCGGAUUGGAGUCUGCAACUCGACUCCAUGAAGUCGGAAUCGCUAGUAAUCGUGGAUCAGAAUGCCACGGUGAAUACGUUCCCGGGCCUUGUACACACCGCCCGUCACACCAUGGGAGUGGGUUGCAAAAGAAGUAGGUAGCUUAACCUUCGGGAGGGCGCUUACCACUUUGUGAUUCAUGACUGGGGUGAAGUCGUAACAAGGUAACCGUAGGGGAACCUGCGGUUGGA